UCAUUCCCGAAAAUAAACACAUCUAAAUCUCCGCUCUCUCCAUUAUUGCCCAUUUCUAUUUUGCCAUUCUUCAUCAUGUGUGAGAAACUUAAUUCCAUAUUCGUUCCUCUGCCUCAUCCUUUUUCGAGAUGGAUCACAUGAACUCCUCCAACGCUGGCGAACUCAUAAAGCACGAGGGUUUCAUCGACAGUAGCUUCCUCCUCAAUUGCAAGGCUAGGAACGGUUAUGUGAUUGUGUAACCCUACUUGAUUGCGUAGUAGGUUGGGUAGCAGUUCGUCUUUGCGUAGCACUUCGCGUCUUCCAUUCUCGAGUUCUAUAUUCUUGUUGUCUUCCUCUGUCAUUGCAUCUUGAAGAGGUAUCACCGGAUUGUUUGAGAGAUUGGUGUCCUUCCUUUCGGAGAAUUUGAAGGUGUUUCGGAAGACAGAGUUUCAAUCUUGUCGCUGGGUGAAGUCGCUGCACAUUGUUCCUCAAGUGCUCAAUAUCAAUAUGUUUCAGAAACAGCCCAACGGCAAUGACGAGGUAAAUCAUCCGUUUCAGAACCGUCAUUCCAGAAUGCUAAAACAUUGUUCGUGUUAUUGUGCUUUUAUUACUUUCCAAAAUGGCACUCUUUUAUAAAAACAUUUUAUCUUUCAUAAAAAGUACAUUGUAUUCAUUGAGAUCUAAUGACAAUCUUUUAAAUUUGA